UGCAAGAUGAACAUCGUGCUCAGUAAAAG
rnacentral:piRNA from 1 species